rfam:Gloeophyllum trabeum ATCC 11539 unplaced genomic scaffold GLOTRscaffold_00007, whole genome shotgun sequence.
GGCCAUAUAGUGUAGUGGUAUUAUCACAUCGGGUUUUGAAUCGGGCCGAUCACGUGACCCCCGGAAUCUUCCGAUAACCCAGGUUCGAGUCCUGGUAUGGCCU